GCGGUUUGCCGCCGCCCGCCGCGAGCUCAGAGCCGCCUGCCGCGUUCGCUGUGGCGCUGUCCGCGGCCGCGCUGUGCAGCGGUCGGGAUACCGUAGUUGGCCGCGGCUUCUCUGCCGUGAAGGGCGUUGCCCCCUAUCCGUCGGGUAGCCCUGCCGCUGAGGAGCUGGCGGGGCCCCGGGUCAGUGUGGCGAAAGAUAGGCGAAGAGGGAAGUCCCGCCUCUGCUGCUGCUGCUGAGGGGAGAAACGCUGUGGGAGGCCGGCUCGGAGCCGGUGCCGUUCCUGCACUGCUCCGUGGCUCUGCUGGUCGCGCCUCCGUGCCGGCACUCGGCGUGCCCGGUCAGCUGUGUGGAAAACAGACAUCAGCCCCCGCCCGUCACGUUGGCCGUGCUUCUUAAACCGCGCCAGGACUUGAGUGGGAGCAUAGACACACUCUUGUUGUGGCUUCCCGGAGAACGCUAAGGGAUCGGCUCGGAAAUGCUGGUGUGGAGAUAGGCGGGAAAACUGGAAGCUGUUCAGAGACACGCACGCUUAGCGUCGAAAGCUGGCCGUGCUGCCUGAGAGUGCGGAAAGCCGCGUGGCUUACGCUGUGAGAGGAGCUGCCAGCGCACAAAGCUGGCGCUGAGACCCGCCGGCUCCGUCAGCAUUGCAAGGGCUGCAGGUAGCUCCGCUGUGUAGAAGGAUUUCUGAACUUAAAGGGAAGAUAUUUAGAUCGCUCGGUUGAACUCUAAUGCCUAUCUCUCUAAAACAAGCCACACAGCAUCAGUUCACUGGGAACAGAACUGUUCUGAAUAAUAUGCUUUGGUCCAGCAUGAAGGAAGACAAUUUUAAUGAGUUAAGAGGCUCUUAAAGCAGACCACAGGAAUUUCAAGAGUGAAGCUGAAUGAAACCAUGGAAAUUAAUCAGGUUAGUCAGCCGCUGAUCGGUUACAGGCAUCAGCAUAUGUUAAAUAUGUGGAGCAUAGUACAUGACCUUUCUUUUAUUAAUCUAUGUUGUAGAAUGCAACACCAUAAGUUAGUUGCUAAUUGCUAAUUCAGAGAAAUGUAGCUGAUCAAAAUCUAAAAGCCACCAACACUAUAUUUAUUCGCAAGAAAUCCACAGUAGAAACCUUAUCUCUCUUACACUGAGUAGGUUUGAAAGAAUUUCUCAGAUUUUACAAUUAUAUACAACUUAUAGGCCUCAGCUGCAGGCAAACAUGCUAUGAAGAAGUGAAAUGACUUUGGAAAUUCUGUGACUAAAAUGUUCACGUGGCAAAAGAAAGUCAUGAUGUUACUGCACAUAUUCCACUUCUGUGUGGACUACCUGGAAAUUCUUCCUUCUCCUCCAAAGCUGUGUUUACUUGAGGCAGAUCUCAUUUAAUAAAGCACUGUAAAACUAUAUUCUUCUCUUAUUCACACUAAUGCGAGACGAAAUAUAUACAUGAUGGAUUUUUUUUUUUUUAAUGUAUUUAUGUAUGUUGUCCUGAUUAUGCAAAACCUUACGCAGUUGGUUAAUAUCAUUCAUAGCCCUAGUGAUCUUCAUAGAAUCAUAGAAUAACCUGGGUUGAAAAGGACUACAGUGAUCAUUGAGUUUCAACCCCGCU